UCGCGCGCGACCAACCGCCAACGCCGCUGCCGCGCCGCGCUGCGCUGCGCUGCGGUAAACUCGCGCCGGUCGCUGGUUCGCAGCGACCUCCUCACUACCGUCGUCAUUACCUAGCCUGUGUCCUCUGGUCAACUCGUCUCCGUGAGACGCCAGUGGAUAGCCACUGCUCGGAUCAGGGCAGUCGACAGUUCCCGACACAACGUCUGCCACGUGUAGCUGAUGAUGAGACUAUCGGCAAAGGAACGUCUUUGCUGAAGAGCUUCGGUGCUCAGGACUCUGCGCUCUUAUACCUGUCUGCUGCCGCCAGCAUCCGCAUCUAGGGACUGUGGCACGGUACCCAGCCUCAAUUAGGUGGAGUGUCUGAGGAAUUUAUCGGAGCGCACCCACCGCACACGCACAGGGGCUAUCAAAGCGGGAGCUGGCACGCCACGUGUCUGAAAGCGGCAGCUGCCACGUCGGUUGCAUGUGUGCCUGCGGGCGCUGACGUCAGAGCCGUCUGCGGCGUGAGAGAUGAG